rnacentral:rRNA from 1 species
GAUGAACGCUAGCGGCAGGCUUAAUACAUGCAAGUCGUGGGGCAGCAUGAGUGUAGCAAUACAUUUGAUGGCGACCGGCAAACGGGUGCGGAACACGUACAGAACCCUCCUUCAAGCGGGGCAUAGCCCAGAGAAAUUUGGAUUAAUACCCCAUAAUAUAAUGAAGAGGCAUCUCUUUGUUAUUAAAGAUUUAUCACUUGAAGAUGGCUGUGCGGCUGAUUAGGUAGUUGGCGGGGUAACGGCCCACCAAGCCUGCGAUCAGUAACUGGUGUGGACGCACGACCAGUCACACGGGAACUGAGACACGGGCCCGACUCCUACGGGAGGCAGCAGUAAGGAAUAUUGGUCAAUGGACGCAAGUCUGAACCAGCCAUGCCGCGUGGAGGAUGAAGGUCCUCUGGAUUGUAAACUUCUUUUAUAUGGGACGAAAAAAGGCUUUUCUAAGUCGUCUGACGGUACCAUAUGAAUAAGCACCGGCUAACUCCGUGCCAGCCGCCGCGGUAA